AGGUGAAAUUCUAGGAUCGACCCGAGACGAACCGCCGCGAAAGCAUUCGGCAAGGACGCUUUCAUUAAUCAAGAACGAAAGUCGGGGGAUCGAAGACGAUCAGAUACCGUCGUAGUCCCGACCGUAAACGAUGCCGACCGAGGGCCCGGAGGAGUUACGUACGACCCUCCGGGCCCUCCCGCGAGAAAUCAGGAGUAUUCGGGUUCCGGGGGGAGUAUGGUCGCAAGGCCGAAACUUAAAGGAAUUGACGGAAGGGCACCACCAGGAGUGGAAUCUGCGGCUUAAUUUGACCCAACGCGGGAAAACUCACCAGGUCAGGACACGGUAAGGAUUGACGGACUGAAGGCUCUUUCUCGAUUCCGUGGAAAGUGGUGCAUGGCCGUUUUUGGUUGGUGGAUCGAUCCGUCUGGUUAAUUCCGUUAACGAACGAGACCUCGGCACUCCGAAUAGCGCGGCGGACGUCGCGGCCUCCGGGCCGUCUUCCGCACGAGCUUCUUAGAGGGACCGUCCCCCCGCCGGGGAAGGAGGUGCGAGGGCU
rnacentral:rRNA from 1 species